rnacentral:lncRNA from 1 species
GCUUUACAUGACUGAGAAAAGAAAAAAAAUGCACAUUUUAUUGUUGUAAUUUAAAUUUCAUUUCUAUGACACUAAACAUGAAAACAGGAAAAAUGUGUUUUGUUUUUGUUUUGUUUUCCCUGUUUGGGUUUUUUUUUUCCCCCCUGAGUUUGUGUAGAAACUGUGUGGUACACUGGUAAUCUUGUCAGGGUACAAACUUGGUCUGACUUUGUUAUUUGGUUUAUUUGUGAACCAUGUACUUGCUCUUCCUCCCAGAAGCAUAGCUUAUAGGCAAGGUUAAUCCAGUGUUGGCGAUCCAUGUCCUAGCACAGCAUCUGUAAGUUAAUAUGCAAUCAUUCCUUCCAAGGAUGGAUUUAUCACUGUUGAUAUAUUUCAUUGUCUUAUAGGCAUAAUGGGUAUAAAUAUAUUGCUUUAAAGUUAAGCCAGAAAUUAAUCUUAUUAAAUUAAAAUACUAUGAUUAUGUACCUUUCUGCUUGAAGUGAGUGAUUUUCAGACUUUUUGUAUUUGGUGGGCUGUCCAUCUUGUAAUGGUGGGAGUAAAUGUUUCCAUACGUGAUAGGGCAGAUAAUGGCUGAAUUCACCUUGUCUUUUGGAGGGUGGGCAAAUCAGAGGCCAUAAGACUAGUUGCAUUCCAAUGACCUUACUGUCUUCCUCCACCUUCUCCUUUGAAACACUCAACUAAUAAUCCUUAGGUAAUUGGAAGUCUGGGGUUAUAGUUAGCAAUAGUUACCCCACUGAUUUAAAGAAAUUCAUAAUGGGAAGAAUUACAUGUUAGCCAAGUGACUGUAUUUCUAGAAAUUAUUACAAACCAUCACAUUGCUCACGGUCAUUUUAGUUAUUACAUAGUCAUUGAGUGGUCAGCCACACUUGACACAAUCUCCCAGCAUCCAAGAUUGGAGAUUCCUGGUCUAUGUAGAGUAUAUGGUUUUGCACGAAAUCUGUCUAGGCUUGUGAUUGCUUCAGUUUAAUUUGUCAAAUAAAACCUCUAGUAUUUAAUGUUGAAGUACCAGUGGUUUGGUUUUCUUGUUGUUGUUCCCAGUAUUGGGCAUUGCGCCGGGAAAAGUCUGAAUAUUGGAGCUAUAGAGUUAACUCUAAAAGUACUUUUAUUGGUUUCUAGAAACUG